GGUGCUGUAGCAAAACGGUAUUGCAGUAGUUUGCAAAACUUCGCUGUAUGGGUUCGAGUCCCAUUGGUGCCUAACACCAAAACCAC